rnacentral:lncRNA from 1 species
CCUUUCAAGGCCCUUUCCCUCCUCCCCCACUCGCCCGCGGCUUUAAAUAAUCGCCUCUUGCAGGCGCGAAGUCUUUUCUCCUCGUAGGCAUGCGCCGUGGGUGUAAGGCGCGCGCGGCCGAGUUUGGCCCUUCGGCGGACGGCUGAUGCUCCGUGGGUUGCCACGGAGGGGAAGGCGUGCGUGCUCUGCGGAGCUUCUCGGCGGUGUAAGCCUCUGGAGCAUGGGUUGAGCCGGGCGAAGUGAAGUUUCCCCACCUGGAGCUGGGGCGCGAAUGCCCCCCGUACUGCCGAAGGGCCUCGGUUGCGGGACUUCGGAUCCAUGCGGCUGAAGUCACCCGUAGGGAUUCUAAGCAACAGAUUCUACUUAUAACACAGGAAAGGGUUCCUGUCUUGCUUGUGGUACAGUGUUGCAGCUCUUACACACCCAAGAACCAGGAAACCAUGGACUUUUCUAUGUGGACCAGAGAUCAAAUCAGAGCCGGCAAGCACUUGAACUUUUGGGUGUUUUUUUUUUCUUGAAUCCUUGUUUCUAAGAAUGUAUUCUUGAAGUAAUAAAAUUUUUUUUACUAAAACCUGUCA